rnacentral:rRNA from 1 species
AGAGUUUGAUCUUGGCUCAGGAUGAACGCUGGCGGCGUGCUUAAUACAUGCAAGUCGAACGCUUUGUUUUUAAUUGAUAUGAAGAGCUUGCUCUGAUUUGAUUUUAUCUGACAAAGAGUGGCGAACGGGUGAGUAAUACGUGGGUAACCUACCUCUUAGCAGGGGAUAACAUUUGGAAACAAGUGCUAAUACCGUAUAACACUAACAACCGCAUGGUUGUUAGUUGAAAGAUGGUUCUGCUAUCACUAAGAGAUGGACCCGCGGUGCAUUAGCUAGUUGGUAAGGUAAUGGCUUACCAAGGCGAUGAUGCGUAGCCGAGUUGAGAGACUGAUCGGCCACAAUGGGACUGAGACACGGCCCAUACUCCUACGGGAGGCAGCAGUAGGGAAUCUUCCACAAUGGGCGCAAGCCUGAUGGAGCAACGCCGCGUGUGUGAUGAAGGGUUUCGGCUCGUAAAACACUGCUAUAAGAGAAGAACGACAUUGAGAGUAACUGUUCAGUGUGUGACGGUAUCUUAUCAGAAAGGAACGGCUAAAUACGUGCCAGCAGCCGCGGUAAUACGUAUGUUCCAAGCGUUAUCCGGAUUUAUUGGGCGUAAAGCGAGCGCAGACGGUUACUUAAGUCUGAAGUGAAAGCCCUCAGCUCAACUGAGGAAGGGCUUUGGAAACUGGAUAACUUGAGUGCAGUAGAGGAAAGUGGAACUCCAUGUGUAGCGGUGAAAUGCGUAGAUAUAUGGAAGAACACCGGUGGCGAAAGCGGCUUUCUGGACUGUAACUGACGUUGAGGCUCGAAAGUGUGGGUAGCAAACAGGAUUAGAUACCCUGGUAGUCCACACCGUAAACGAUGAGUGCUAGAUGUUCGAGGGUUUCCGCCCUUGAGUGUCGCAGCU